UUUAUAGAGAGUUUGAUCCUGGCUCAGGACGAACGCUGGCGGCGUGCUUAACACAUGCAAGUCGAACGGAGCACCCUUGAUUGAGGUUUCGGCCAAAUGAUAGGAAUGCUUAGUGGCGGACUGGUGAGUAACGCGUGAGGAACCUGCCUCUCAGAGGGGGACAACAGUUGGAAACGACUGCUAAUACCGCAUGACACAUUCGGGCGGCAUCGCCUGGAUGUCAAAGAUUUUAUCGCUGAGAGAUGGCCUCGCGUCUGAUUAGCUAGUUGGUGAGGUAACGGCCCACCAAGGCGACGAUCAGUAGCCGACCUGAGAGGGUGAUCGGCCACAUUGGAACUGAGAGACGGUCCAAACUCCUACGGGAGGCAGCAGUGGGGAAUAUUGGGCAAUGGGCGAAAGCCUGACCCAGCAACGCCGCGUGAGGGAAGAAGGUUUUCGGAUUGUAAACCUCUGUCCUCAGGGACGAAGGAAGUGACGGUACCUGAGGAGGAAGCCCCGGCUAACUACGUGCCAGCAGCCGCGGUAAUACGUAGGGGGCGAGCGUUGUCCGGAAUGACUGGGCGUAAAGGGCGUGUAGGUGGCCGAUUAAGUGUGGAGUGAAAGUCCACUUUUCAAGGGUGGAAUUGCUUUGCAGACUGGUUGGCUUGAGUGCGGAAGAGGUAAGUGGAAUUCCCAGUGUAGCGGUGAAAUGCGUAGAGAUUGGGAGGAACACCAGUGGCGAAGGCGACUUACUGGGCCGUAACUGACGCUGAGGCGCGAAAGCGUGGGGAGCGAACAGGAUUAGAUACCCUGGUAGUCCACGCUGUAAACGAUGAAUGCUAGGUGUUGCGGGUAUCGACCCCUGCAGUGCCGGAGUAAACACAAUAAGCAUUCCGCCUGGGGAGUACGGCCGCAAGGUUGAAACUCAAAGGAAUUGACGGGGGCCCGCACAAGCAGCGGAGCAUGUGGUUUAAUUCGACGCAACGCGAAGAACCUUACCAGGUCUUGACAUCCACUUAAACUUACAGAGAUGUAAGGUGUGCUUGCACAAAGUGAGACAGGUGGUGCAUGGUUGUCGUCAGCUCGUGUCGUGAGAUGUUGGGUUAAGUCCCGCAACGAGCGCAACCCUUAUCUUCAGUUACUAACGCGUGAGGGUGAGGACUCUGAAGAGACUGCCGGGGACAACUCGGAGGAAGGUGGGGACGACGUCAAAUCAUCAUGCCCCUUAUGACCUGGGCUACACACGUGCUACAAUGGCCACGACAGAGAGAAGCGAAAUCGCAAGGUAGAGCGGAACUCAAAAAAGUGGUCCCAGUUCGGAUUGUGGGCUGCAACCCGCCCACAUGAAGUCGGAGUUGCUAGUAAUCGCGGAUCAGCAUGCCGCGGUGAAUACGUUCCCGGGCCUUGUACACACCGCCCGUCACACCAUGGGAGUUGGGAGUGCCCAAAGCCGGUGAGGCAACCGCAAGGAGCCAGCCGUCUAAGGCAAGACCAAUGACUGGGGUGAAGUCGUAACAAGGUAGCCGUAUCGGAAGGUGCGGCUGGAUCACCUCCUUU
rnacentral:rRNA from 1 species